rnacentral:misc_RNA from 1 species
AGAUCCGAUCGCCACUCAGCACCAACACGCAGACGCAUACACACAGGCAAAAAAAACCCUCGCACACACACACGCAAAACCAUCGACGUGCAUAGGAGAGAACCAUAGAAGGCGCCCGAUUCACGCAGCGAGUCCUUUUUUAGUUUUGUGCGCCUCACUGUACACCGGUGCUCUACUGAUUUCUCAUCUCUCAUCUCUCUUUGUCUUUUUGUCCUUGUAACCUGCGCGUCGGACCUUCGUUGUCACUCACCUGUCCUCGCCUCCUCCAGAGUAAACAACACCCGACAUCGAGGUAUCUCUACACUUGCCCUCACCUCUGAAAACGCUAAAAUGGAGUUCAUCAUGAAUUCUGUGUAUGCGGUCGACCCCAUCUACCUGCUGAUGAGCGCCGUCGCCCAGCAGAUGCUGGCAAUGGCCUGGUUUGACUGCAUUGUGGGCCAAAUUGAUCGCUACUAUGUCGCAGCGGACAAGGGCGUGCGGCGGGUCGAGCACGCUAUCACGCGCUACCCAGGCAUAAUGGUCUCUGCGAUGACCUUCGCCUGCUCGCUGCUCCGCUCACUUGUUGUGCUGACGAUGGUUAGCAUGUGCAAUUGCUCGACGCUCUACCAGUAUCAGUCGGCUGCCAUGGUCGCCGUGAUGAUUGGCAUGAUGCGUGUCCACCGCACCUUCUCGUGUCACCGCCCCAUCCAGAUUUUUGUGACCGAGACCGGCUACGAGAUGGCUGCGGCGAUGACGGCGGCGGUGGUCUGUUACUACAUGAAGAAGUACAACUUCUAAGGGAGGCCAUCUGACGGUUCUCACUUCACUUGGGGUGCCAAGUCAAUCGACCAUCAACCUUCGCCGCUCACUCGACCGCCGUCGAGAGACAUAUCUGUCGGCGUGUGUGGGUGUGGUUGGUACCUUCUCUGUACUCUUGUCUUCAUUUUGGGUUCUCCCCUUCUUUUGUCGACGAGGUGGCAAGGAGGCUUACAGUCCUGUCUCUUCGUCUUUCUUCGUGUUUUCCACCUUUAGAUGCAGCCACUUCCUCCUCCUUUUCCUUUUAGUCCUGCGAGUGCACUUGUGGGCAAGCUCGCGACGACUUCGAUGCUUGUCUGUUCCUGCACAUUGUUCCUGCAUCCCCCGGUCGACUCUGUGUACUAUUGCUGCCUUUUUUUUUUCGUUACAUAGAGAAGCGUAUGGAUGGUGAGGGCGGCGCAAAGGAAUGCGCUGGCGCCGCGGAACGCGUCCACAGAGGUUGUAUGUCUAUGAGUGAGGUGAGGAGGGGAGGGAGUGAUGGGAGGGAUGGGAGAGGGGGGGGCAGGGAAGCAGCUGCAGGACAUCGCAAUGGAGGAAAAGGAGGUUUACUCAUUUUUUCUUUCGCGUAUCCGCCGCAACGUCGUUUUCCGCGUUUUUUUUUGUUUCGUGUGCUCUUCUCUCCCGUCUCCUCAUUGUUUCCACCGUCGCUGACUUUUCUCUUGGUCCAUGCGUGCAUCUGCGUGAGCCCCUGCACAGUCAAUGGUGCCUAUCUUCUAGUUUCAGCUGAUCUUGUCCUCUUACCGUUUGGCGCUUUUCAUGCUAAGGGGCUUCCGGGAACCCCGCGGCGGAGAUGCGGUAGAUGUCCUGUAAGUGCUCCUCAAGACUGCCCCUGGAAGGAUUGAUGUGCUGCACAGCAUUGGAUGCAAUCAGCUCGGCAUGGGUGGACGCGCUCGCACACAUGCUCACCAGCCGUCUCGCGUGUUCGUUUGUGCAUUCAUUUAAUCUUGACAAGAUUGUGCCUAGAGCAAAG